GCCCAGUGAAUUAUUUUCAACGGCCGCGGUAUCUUAACCGUGCAAAGGUAGCAUAAUCACUUGCCCAUUAAUUGUGGGCUAGAAUGAAGGGACCAACGAAAUAAAAACUGUCUCUAUAAGCCUAGUAAAAAUUAAUCUCUAACUGAAGAUUGUUAGAUUAUGUUGAAGGACAAGAAGACCCUAUAGAGCUUUAUCUUAAUAAAUAACUUAAAAUUUUAUAUGAUUCGGUUGGGGCGACCAGGGAAAUUAAUCAUCAUCCCCAUAGCAAAGAUAAAUAAAUCUUAUAAAUGACCCUUAAUAGAGAUCACCAAACCAAGCUACCUUAGGGAUAACAGGCUAAUUACACUAAAGAGUCCUUAUUGAUAGUGUAGUUUGGCACCUCGAUGUUGGCUUAGGGAAUCCGUAUGGCGCAAAAGUCAUAUAAAGAUGGUUUGUUCAACCAGUAAUACCCUACAUGAGCUGAGUUCAGACCGGCGUAAGCCAGGUUAGUUUCUAUCCUCAAUAAAUUAAUCUAUUUAUAGUACGAAAGGACCUAAAUAUGAGUAAUAAUUACAUCUGAAGAACGCUUAUAAAGCCUUAUUAAAUAUAAUAGUCUAUCCCCUAUAAUGAUAAGUUGGCAGAAUAGUGCCACCGACUUAGGAUCAGUUCAUGGAUAUAAUCCACUUAUCAGUUUGCAACUUAGUUCAAUUAGAACAAUCAACUUGCACUUGAUAGGAGAGACCGUCUCAGUAGCGGCUUAAAGUUUUGGAAACACUGGACCUUGAAAGUCCAUUUAAGAUGUUCGACUCAUCUUUAAGCCCAACAAGAUGGCAGAAUA
rnacentral:rRNA from 1 species